GCUUACGGCCACACCGCCUGGUUCACGCUUGAUCUCGGAAGAUAAGAUAGGUUGGGCCUGGUUAGUACUUGGAUGGGAGACCGCCUGGGAAUACCAGGUGCUGUAAGCU
rnacentral:rRNA from 1 species